AGUGAACGCUGGCGGCAGGCCUAACACAUGCCAGUCGAACGGCAGCACAGUAAGAGUUUGCUCUUACGGGUGGCGAGUGGCGGACGGGUGAGGAAUACAUCGGAAUCUACUUUUUCGUGGGGGAUAACGUAGGGAAACUUACGCUAAUACCGCAUAUGACCUACGGGUGAAAGCAGGGGAUCUUCGCACCUUGCGCGAUUGAACGAGCCGAUGUCGGACUAGCUAGUUGGGGGGGUAAAGGCCCACCAAGGCGACGAUCCGUAGCUGGUCUGAGUGGAUGGUCGGCCACCCGGGAACUGGGACAGGGUCCAGACGCCUACGGGAGGGAGCAGAGGGGAAUAGUAGGCAAUGGGCGCAAGUCUGAUCCAGCGAUACCGCGUGGGUGAAGAAGGCGUUCGGGUUGUAAAGCCCUUUUGUUGGGAAAGAAAAGCAGCAGGUUGAUACCCCGCUGUUCUGACGGUACCCAAAGAAUAAGCACCGGCUAACUUCGUG
rnacentral:rRNA from 1 species